UACGUAGGGUGCGAGCGUUAAUCGGAAUUACUGGGCGUAAAGCGUGCGCAGGCGGUUCGUUAUGUCCGAUGUGAAAGCCCCGAGCUCAACUUGGGAAUGGCAUUGGAAACUGGCGGGCUGGAGUGUGGCAGAGGGGGGUGGAAUUCCACGUGUAGCAGUGAAAUGCGUAGAGAUGUGGAGGAACACCGAUGGCGAAGGCAAUCCCCUGGGCCUGCACUGACGCUCAUGCACGAAAGCGUGGGGAGCAAACAGG
rnacentral:rRNA from 1 species